rnacentral:rRNA from 1 species
UACGUAGGGGGCAAGCGUUGUCCGGAUUUAUUGGGCGUAAAGGGCGCGUAGGCGGCCAGCACAAGUCAGUUGUGAAAUCUCCGAGCUUAACUCGGAAAGGUCAACUGAUACUGUGCGACUAGAGUGCAGAAGGGGCAACUGGAAUUCUCGGUGUAGCGGUGAAAUGCGCAGAUAUCAGGAGGAACACCGAUUGCGAAGGCAGCUCGCUGGGACGUAACUGGACGCUGGAGAACGCGAAAGCGUGGGGAGCAAACAGG